rnacentral:lncRNA from 1 species
UUUGAGAGUAUGGAUAGUUUCCUCCAUUUGAAAGACCUUUUUCCUGAUAUCACCGGUGUCUGGAUCUCCUUUGAGAUGGGUGCUUUCAGGGUCUUUGUUGGUUUUAUCCAACUGAGGUUCUGGAUUUGUUUUAUCCAAUCCUUGUGUCCCUCCUUGUGUAGAGGUUUUUGUAUGUGUAGGUAUCUUCGUACCCUGAGUAGAUUGAUG